rnacentral:rRNA from 1 species
AACGAACGCUGGUGGCAUGCCUAACACAUGCAAGUCGAACGAGACCUUCGGGUCUAGUGGCGCACGGGUGCGUAACGCGUGGGAAUCUGCCCUUCGGUUCGGAAUAACUCAGGGAAACUUGAGCUAAUACCGGAUGACGUCUUCGGACCAAAGAUUUAUCGCCGAGGGAUGAGCCCGCGUAGGAUUAGGUAGUUGGUGGGGUAAUGGCCCACCAAGCCGACGAUCCUUAGCUGGUCUGAGAGGAUGAUCAGCCACACUGGGACUGAGACACGGCCCAGACUGCUACGGGAGGCAGCAGUGGGGAAUAUUGGACAAGGGGCGAAAGCCUGAUCCAGCAAUGCCGCGUGAGUGAUGAAGGCCUUAGGGUUGUAAAGCUCUUUUACCAGGGAUGAUAAUGACAGUACCUGGAGAAUAAGCUCCGGCUAACUCCGUGCCAGCAGCCGCGGUAA